GAUGAACGCUGGCGGCGUGCCUAAUACAUGCAAGUCGAGCGAACAGACGAGGAGCUUGCUCCUCUGACGUUAGCGGCGGACGGGUGAGUAACACGUGGAUAACCUACCUAUAAGACUGGGAUAACUUCGGGAAACCGGAGCUAAUACCGGAUAAUAUAUUGAACCGCAUGGUUCAAUAGUGAAAGACGGUUUUGCUGUCACUUAUAGAUGGAUCCGCGCCGCAUUAGCUAGUUGGUAAGGUAACGGCUUACCAAGGCAACGAUGCGUAGCCGACCUGAGAGGGUGAUCGGCCACACUGGAACUGAGACACGGUCCAGACUCCUACGGGAGGCAGCAGUAGGGAAUCUUACGCAAUGGGCGAAAGCCUGACGGAGCAACGCCGCGUGAGUGAUGAAGGUCUUCGGAUCGUAAAACUCUGUUAUUAGGGAAGAACAAAUGUGUAAGUAACUAUGCACGUCUUGACGGUACCUAAUCAGAAAGCCACGGCUAACUACGUG
rnacentral:rRNA from 1 species